rfam:Streptococcus gallolyticus strain ICDDRB-NRC-S1, complete genome.
UGUGCUAUACUUUUAAGCGUUGUGAAAACAACCCUUGACGCUUAGUUCCCUUUCGUCAAGCAUAUUAGAGACGUGAAGAAUUGUCGCUCUUUAACGUUAAAGGAGAAAAAAUU